GACGAACGCUGGCGGCGUGCUUAACACAUGCAAGUCGUACGGUAAUUCCCUGUCGGGUGUUCACGAGUGGCGAACGGUUGAGUAACACGUCGGUAACCUGCCUACAACUUUGGGAUAACGCUUGUCAACUGGUGCUAAUGCUGGGUAUGUGUUCCUGCUGCCUGGUGGUGUUUGGAAAUCUCCUGCGGUUGUGGAUGGACUCGCGGCCUUUCAGCUUGUUGGUGGGGUAGUUGCCUACCAAGGUGGCGACGGGGAGCCGGCCUGAUAGGGUGACCGGCCACAUUGGGACGGAGAUAAGGCCCAGAAGACUCCGGGAGGCAGCAGUGGGGAAGAUUGCACAAUGGGCGCGAGCACGAUGAAGCAGCGCCGCGGGCGGGAGGACGGCGUUCGGGUUGUAGAAAGCUUUCAGCAGGGGCGACGCUUUUUGUGACGGUACCUGAAGAAGAAGCACCGGCUAACUACGUG
rnacentral:rRNA from 1 species